AGACAGCUGCUCCCGGGGCCCCUCACUGGGCAUCCCCAACCGGGGUUCUGCCCGUCGGGUGGGGGUGUCCUCUCCCUCACCUGCCUCUCGGGGUUUUUCAGGCUCAGCAGCCACGAUGUGCGAGAAGACCCUCGGGAAACCAGAGCCGUGGAUGACUCGGUCCCGCGCUGUCACUGCAUGGAUGCUGGGGUUUGAGCAGAGUCCACACUGCACACUCUCGGGCCCUGAGGAGGCAGCAGGGAGAACAGAUGGCGCCUCGUGCUGCACCGCUGGUCCCUCCUGUUCCAGAAAGUUCCACAGCUGACGCUGAAGAUGCCUUGGAAGGUCACCUGGGCGAAGCACUCAGACCGUAGCGCACAGCCGUGCUCCCCACAC